GUCAUCAGCAGGUUGUGUUGUUGAAGCUGAGUGUUGUAGAGUCAUCAGCAGCAGGUUGUGUUGUUGAAGCUGAGUGUUGUAGAGUCAUCAGCAGCAGGUUGUGUUGUUGAAGCUGAGUGUUGUAGAGUCAUCAGCAGCAGGUUGUGUUACUGAAGCUGAGUGUUGUAGAGUCAUCAGCAGCAGGUUGUGUUGUUGAAGCUGAGUGUUGUAGAGUCAUCAGCAGGUUGUGUUGUUGAAGCUGAGUGUUGUAGAGUCAUCAGCAGGUUGUGUUGUUGAAGCUGAGUGUUGUAGAGCCAUCAGCAGCAGGUUGUGUAACUGAAGCUGAGUGUUGUAGAGUCAUCAGCAGCAGGUUGUGUUGCUGA